GACAGAGGCCUCAAGCGUUAGGCGGAAUCACUGGGCUUAAAGCGUGUGUAGGCGGACUUCUAAGUGCCUUGUGAAAUCCCACGGCUCAACCGUGGAACUGCUGGGCAUACUGGGAGUCUUGGGCCAUUCAGGGGCAACUGGAACAAGCGGUGGAGCGGUGAAAUGCGUAGAUAUCGCUUGGAACGCCGAAGGUGAAAACAGGUUGCUGGGGAUGUGCCGACGUGAGACACGAAAGCCAGGGGAGCAAACGGG
rnacentral:rRNA from 1 species